rnacentral:tRNA from 1 species
AAGAUUCUGGCUCAGUGGUAGAGCACUUGCCUAAUAUGUGGAAGGUCCUGAGUUCAAUCUCAAGAAUCUCA